GGCGACGUAGCUCAGUUGGUAAGAGCGGCGGAUUCAUAACCCGCAGGUCGUCGGUUCGAUUCCGACCGUCGCCACCA
rnacentral:tRNA from 1 species